rnacentral:rRNA from 1 species
UGCAGUCGAACGGCAGCACGGAGCUUGCUCUGGUGGCGAGUGGCGAACGGGUGAGUAAUAUAUCGGAACGUACCCUAGAGUGGGGGAUAACGUAGCGAAAGUUACGCUAAUACCGCAUACGAUCUAAGGAUGAAAGUGGGGGAUCGCAAGACCUCAUGCUCGUGGAGCGGCCGAUAUCUGAUUAGCUAGUUGGUAGGGUAAAAGCCUACCAAGGCAUCGAUCAGUAGCUGGUCUGAGAGGACGACCAGCCACACUGGAACUGAGACACGGUCCAGUCUCCUACGGGAGGCAGCAGUGGGGAAUUCUGACAAUGGGCGAAAGCCUGAUCCAGCAAUGCCGCGUGAGUGAAGAAAGCCUUCGGGUUGUAAAGCUCUUUUGUCAGGGAAGAAACGGUGAAAGCUAAUAUCUUUUGCUAAUGACGGUACCUGAAGAAUAAGCACCGGCUAACUACGUGCCAGCGGCCGCGGUAAUACGUAGGGUGCAAGCGUUAAUCGGAAUUACUGGGCGUAAAGCGUGCGCAGGCGGUUUUGUAAGUCUGAUGUGAAAUCCCCGGGCUCAACCUGGGAAUUGCAUUGGAGACUGCAAGGCUUGAAUCUGGCAG